AUGAUAAGGAUGAUGGAGGAUUUAGAUGAUGAAGAUGAUCUAGAUGAUAAAAAUAGAACUAUUUCCCGAGUUGAAAGUUUGAAGACCGCUUCAGCAUUCGCAUCCAGCUGAUCUACUGGGUAUUACACGAGUGUCACGCGUUGAGGCUAACUUAUGUGAUACUUGACACACUGGUACCGGCGAUAACGAGCCACCUGGAACGAGACUAACGAGCAUCUCACAUUUCGUACGAUGUAUUCUGCCGUUACUGACAUAAUACGCGAUGCUUUCGUGUCAGAUGAGUCACCUCGCCGAUAUUGUCUGCAUCACGAGGAUCCUCCCGCGCAGAAAUCAACCUCCAAUUAUUACAGCCCGAUUAGAUCUCAAUGAUCCGUAUCUGGUACCCGAAUCAAGCGCCUCGACAUGUUACAUCGCCAGGAACAAAAGGAUUCGAUAUUAUUUAAAUACGACGUCACGAUGAACAGUUGAAAUGCCCAGCUCGUACAAUUCAUUUGCAUUUAGAGCUCACCAGAAACGCCAGAAAUAUCCUGUUUACGACAUAUUUGGUUACGUCGAGAAGAUGCUUUAUGUCGUGCUCGUAUCUCGACGACAUGGUGCUCCUUGUCACAUUGACUUGUGCUCGUUGGACCGUACAUUUCAAUCCCGCUUCACACAACGUUUUCUCAUGCUAAUUUCAACGGCAGGCGAUUUUCAUCUCGCACAAUGCUCACGUACGACGUCUGAAUCAGUUGUUUGCGGCUCACAAUACGAUGCAUCCCUGUUUUCCACUUUACGCGUUUGAUUAACAAUAUCUGAAUUCUGCGACACUAGCCCACAACCUGAUAAAGCUUCGAAAACGAGAUCUUCCACGUCUCACCAUCAGACAAUUCAAUUCGAUUUCUUCGUCCGAUGCAUACUGAUGUUUACCAGCGUGUUUGCAAUCCGUUCCACGGCUCCAUUGUGUUUCUUUAAUUUUAUUAUUAAGUUUCACAUCACGCUCGAGCACAUUGCACAUGCGAAAUGAAAAUAGACACAUCGCGCCUCUGUUACCCACGGCCUUCGUUGCAUAUUUGCUUACAAGGUGCGUCUUAAAAGCACUGUAAACACCGAGUAGUCUAUCUACUCGGUGAUUACGUAUCCCAUUUACCUCGCACUAAAAAUCGAAAAUCGUGCCCUGUCCAGCAAACGUUAUACCCUUGUAAUUCGUAUCUGGAACGGUGGUUGAAUUAAUAAUACGGUUCGACCUAACAAUAAACCGUAUAGAUUGAACCAUCGACCUAAUUCGUAGGACAAAAAAUAAUUUAUGACGAAUAAAAAAAGCCCUUGGUUAUUUGGAACUUGCACUUUGACGUAACUCGAAUUUUUUGUCCUAAGUUUCUGUAAAUAGUCUCCAGUGUCCUUUAAAAGUUACUGGAGUCAACUAUGAAAUGUUCGCAGCGUUACUAAAACCGAAAUGUUCGAUCACAGCGUUAAUGAAAAUUGAUCGAUCCGCUCCUCGACGAGAGAACAAAUGUAAAUGGAUUUAGUGUGUUCAGCUCGAAGAUGUAUCCACGUAGAACAUCCGCUAGAUUACGGAACGAAAGUUUGUAUAUUAAGUGAGUUAUAUUUAGCUGCAUCGAUGUUUUGAAAAAUAUAAAGAAGCGCACGAGACGAUAAUGCCAAGCAACGAUAUUAAAUUUAAUGUAGCCAUCGCUCACGCUGUGAGAACUCGUUUGCAAAUUAAUGCAACGACGACGACAGCGACAAGAAUACGCGUUGGGACGUUCUGAUCGCUCGAUUAUUAUCUCCAGUCGCAACGGGUGAAAGAAAAAUUGCCUAAUUAACGCUUCUUCGUGGCGAGAUAAUAGCGUUACGGCAACAGUCGUGUAACUAGAAUUCUAUGAAGCGGGCCAGGUACUUCAGCUUUGCCAAUACUCUCUUCCCUCCGGAUCAGUGGUAUAAGCUUUUGAAAAUUUAGGAAUUUAGAAAUUUAUAACUUUGAGAAUAAAAAUUUGUAUUUUUCCAAAUUUGUAAUCUUUUAAAUUUCUAAUGUGAGAUACGCUGCGUCCUACGUCCUUCGUACCAAUGUGCACAAACAAAGACUUUCUCCUGUGACGACGUGAACCUCCUUUUCUUUUUUCCAUGACAUAAUCGUCAAGCAAUACUUACAGUUUAUUGCAGUUUUCGAAUGUAACGCUUAUUUAAUUCGAUAGAAUAUGAAUCAACUUACCUUCGAGCAGUUUUUGCCGUUAAAUAAUUUGUGUUAACGGUAACGCAUAUUAUAACGUGUUUCGAUAAACGCGUUGACCGCAUUGGACCGUAAAUGGUCACAGUUUCUAAGUUACUGCUGUUUAUUUGCGUGUAAUGUGAUUAUUUUGUGGCGGCGUGACUCGAUUCCUCGUUCACAAUUUUUUAUCUGGGUUGUACGAUAAAAUAAAGAAACAAGAGGGUGUUCGACGCCUUUCACGCGCGUAAACAUCGGAAAAUAUUAAGACGAUAAGUUUCUAAAUUCAGAAAAUGAAAAAUGUUAACAAAUGUAAUUGACCUGCGAUAUUUAUCGAGAGUUGUUUCUAGAAAGGCAACGUGAAAGUGUUGACCUAAUUAGAACUUUUAUCUGGAGUAAUUCGAGUUGCUUUACUAAUAGCUUUAAUUCCGCAGAUAUUAUCAAAGGAUUUAGAAAUUUAGGAAUAUGAAAGUUUUGAAAUUUUUGCGUUGUUCAGUGUAGAGAUAAUUUAAAUUAUAAUUAUGCGAUGAGCAAAAUACGAAAUGUUAUUGAAUGAUUUAUAUUUGACUCGCGAGGGGCAAUGAUCCAAGAGUUGAAAUUCUUGUUGCGUUGGCAAUGUUCAGUGCUCUUGUCGCAAAACUGAUCGUUCUAUGCGAUAGAUAAAACAGUAAGGGUAGGUUCCUCUUAAUCGAUACUAAUUAUUGAUAUCUCCAUUGAGUAACCCAAAUGCGCAUAUGUUCUAGAUACUUUAUCAAAUUAAUAACGACGAAGCCGAACCUAAAAAUAACAAAAUGUUCAAAAUAAAUUCAGUAAUCCAUCAAAUUCUGUCACACGAGCUCUCAUAUUCGACCACUUUUAUCAUCACGUAUGGUGUAAAGGCAAUCGAUACCUAUUUGUCCACUUUGCGAAUGUAGAUAAAGGUUGUAAUAUAACUUCAUGCUGUUUUUCGCGAUAAUCUCGUUAUAAUUCGGUAAAACAUGCCGCUCGAUAAGAAAUUCACCGAGAUAUCAUUAUUUUAUCAUGUUAUUAUUGAAAGUACACAAUCUUUGAACAUUUUGAAAGGACAAAAUCUUUAUCUACCGGCAAUGCUGAAGUUUGAUUAUGUUCAAAAUUAAUUACUCUGAACACCGAACAGUUAGUCACUUGCACGUACAAUAAAAUGAUUAAAUAUA
rnacentral:lncRNA from 1 species